UUUUGAUAACAAGGCUUGUCAUGAUCGUCUAGGUGUUGUUCAAGGAGUCGAUGAAGAGACUGCGUGCUGCUGGUUAGAGUGUGCUGUCUGCGCAUGUCAGGAUCUAUUGGAGAGAAGCGGAUUACCGUAUUUCUGUCCAGUUUGCCAAGACGACGUGACUAACCCAAUUACUAAGACUAAUCUUGACGUUAUCAUUAAGUGUGAUAUAUGGAGAGACGCGCGUGUCACUGUCAAGCUUCUGCAGGCCACUAUCGAAAAGCUACUCCCUGUUUCAUACCGAGACAGUGACCAGGGAUAUGACAUUGAACGUGUUCUUGGAAAACGUCUUGGGCCGUUGUACUGUUACAUCGAAGAACAUGGGGAACUUACAGCUAAACUUUCAGAAAUCGUUGUCUGACUGUGACGUCACCUUUUGGUGUAACUACGGGCAUGCGCAGUAAUUGCACCUUAAUCCUAAUGUAGUCGUUUUCUGGGAUGAUACUAGCGAAUUGACAUUUACCCUACUUGAUUCAAAACGUUUGGUCGAGGUAUAAACCAAGUUCAAGGAGAUAAAAUUCCUAAGAAUUAUAAAAGUUAUAUCAUUAAUUCUACGAAUUAUUUAUGUAAUAUUUAUUUAUUUUGAUGAAAUACAUAUUAAAAUACUUGUUUGAUACUG
rnacentral:lncRNA from 1 species